AUUGAACGCUGGCGGCAGGCCUAACACAUGCAAGUCGAGCGAGCGGCGGACGGGUGAGUCAUGUCUGGGAAACUGCCUGAUGGAGGGGGAUAACUACUGGAAACGGUAGCUAAUACCGCAUACCAUCAGAUGUGCCCAGAUGGGAUUCGCUAGUAGGUGGGGUAACGGCUCACCUAGGCGACGAUCCCUAGCUGGUCGGAGAGGAUGACCAGCCACACUGGAACUAAGACACGGUCCAGACUCCGACGGGAGGCAGCAGUGGGGAAUAUUGCACAAUGGGCGCAAGACUGAUGCAGCCAUGCCGCGGGUGUGAAGAAGGCCUUCGGGUUGCAAAGCACUUUCAGCGGGGAGGCGUUACCCGCAGAAGAAGCACCGGCUAACUCCGUGCCAGCAGCCGCGGUAAUUC
rnacentral:rRNA from 1 species